GAGUUUGAUCCUGGCUCAGAACGUACGCUGGCGGCACGCCUAACACAUGCAAGUCGAACGCAGUAGCAAUACUGAGUGGCAAACGGGUGAGUAUAAUGUGGGAAUCUGCCUUUUGGUCUGGAAUAACACGGGGAAACUUGUGCUAAUACCGGAUAAGCCUUUACAGGGAAAGUUUUAAUGCCGAAAGAUGAGCCUGCACUUGAUUAGCUAGUUGGUAAGGUAAAAGCUUACCAAGGCAACGAUCAAUAGCUGUUCUUAGAGGAAGACCAGCCACAUUGGGACUGAGACACGGCCCAGACUCCUACGGGAGGCAGCAGUGGGGAAUCUUGCACAAUGGGGGAAACCCUGAUGCAGCGAUGCCGCGUGAGUGAAGAAGGCCCUUGGGUUGUAAAGCUCUUUCGUCGGGGAAGAAAAUGACUGUACCCGAAUAAGAAGGUCCGGCUAACUUCGUGCCAGCAGCCGCGGUAAUACGAAGGGACCUAGCGUAGUUCGGAAUUACUGGGCUUAAAGAGUUCGUAGGUGGUUGAAAAAGUUAGUGGUGAAAUCCCAGAGCUUAACUCUGGAACUGCCAUUAAAACUUUUCAGCUAGAGUAUGAUAGAGGAAAGCAGAAUUUCUAGUGUAGAGGUGAAAUUCGUAGAUAUUAGAAAGAAUACCAAUUGCGAAGGCAGCUUUCUGGAUCAUUACUGACACUGAGGAACGAAAGCAUGGGUAGCGAAGAGGAUUAGAUACCCUCGUAGUCCAUGCCGUAAACGAUGUGUGUUAGACGUUGGAAAUUUAUUUUCAGUGUCGCAGGGAAACCGAUAAACACACCGCCUGGGGAGUACGACCGCAAGGUUAAAACUCAAAUGAAUUGACGGGGACC
rnacentral:rRNA from 1 species